GUGAGUCUCACAAAAAGAAUGUACACGGAGUACAUACUGUCGGAUUCCAUUUCUAUCAACUCCUGAAGCCUGCAGAGCUAACACCUACUGCUGGAGGGCAAGGCAGUAGCUGCUUGUUGGGGUAGGAGAUGAGGAGAACACCAAGUGGGCUUCUGGAAUGCUGGACACCCGUGAGACAAAGUCUCACUGUGUUCCCAGGCUGAUCCCCAACUCCUGAGCUCAAGCCAGCCACCAGCCUUGGCCUCCCAAAGUGCUGGGAUUACAGGCGUGAGCCACCACGCCGGGCCCAGAUGAACAGUCUUAUGAAUCAAUUUCAUUUCCAAGAGCCCUGUUGGACUUCAUGGCUGAGACAGAGCUGAGAGCAGAGAAAACAGACUCAUAAAAUCCUGGCAGAAUCUUUCCAUUCUAAUAGAGAAAAGAGGAAGGUAUGGAAAAGAGUGAAAUUGGCAUAAAAAAUCCAAUAAAGGGCAACGAGCAGGAAACAACAAAAACAUGGGAAACUGCCGACCUGAGGAAUCGCGCUCUUCUAACUUUACAGCUUCACCUGCCGUGUUUGCUCCUGGAGGACUGAGACUUUUGUCUGAUUCGUCUGCUGCUGUCUUCCCGAUGCCUAGAACACUGCCUGAUGCACGGGAAGUAUUUGUCAGAUACAUCCCAUGGCUUCUAAUGCCAUUUGCAAGGAUGAAAGCUGGGUGUGCCCGGCUGUACGGCAAUACUUCCAAAGGCCUGUAGGACUCCCCAGUGACUGUCCCAUUCACCAGGAGGAGGACUGCAGUCACCUGCAUUGUCCUGGGAAGGUCAGCCAGGCCUUUUCCCAAUGUCUGUCUGGGAAAAGCCCCGGUGUAGUCUGCUCGGUCCUACACCCAGAAUCACGGGGGCUUCAGGAGCAGGCAUUACGAGGCAAGGAGUAGCUUCUCCCCCUCACCUCCCACUCAGCAGAACGCACUAGCCCUGUGCUCUUCUGAUCCUGAAGGCAGCUGAGUCUGAAAAGUUCCUGUACCUUUAAAGGUACUAGAGGCAGUGUGGUGCCCACUCAGGAACUGCAUGAUUUAAAUAGGUUUCUAGGAUAAAGGCAACUCGUAGCACAAAGGAACAAGUCCCAGGGAGUGGCAUUCCAGAUCAUUUGAUUCCUGAGCGAAGGAAUUAUUAUGGUGUGGAGGUGGGGACCUCCUUACUACAUUCCAAAUUGCAAUAAGGUUGUAAGGGUUUUCUCUUCCAUUCUGAAGUACUUUGACAAUAGUUUUGAACUUCAAAAAUGUUUAUUAAAGGUGUUUUCACAGCAGUUUCAUAAUGUUUAAUUUGUUAAUUACUGGAAUUGAUGCUAAAUAAAACAGGCAAGUAAUACUUCAGAUGGCUUCAUCUUCAGAGUCUUCUUCAUGUGUGACUCAAAAUGCACAAUUUUGGCCGGGCACAGUGGCUCACGCCUGUAAUCCCAGCACUUUGGGAGGCUGAGACAGGCGGAUCACCUGAGGUCAGGAGUUUGAGACCAGUUUGGCCAACAUGGUGAAACCCCAUCUCUACUAAAAAUACAAAAAUUAGAUGGGCAUGGUGGUGUGUGCCUGUAAUCCCAGCUGCUUGGGAAGCUGAGGCAGGAGAAUUGAUUGAACCCAAGAGGCGGGGCUUGCAGUGAGCCGAGAUCCCGCUCCAGCCUGGGCAACAAGAGCGAGACUCCGUCUCAAAAAAAGAAAAAAAAAGCACAAUUUCAGGACAGCCUAAGCAAAUAAAAAAUGGGAAAUGGAAAUGGAUUCGAAGCAGGGAGGACGUUCCGCCCACUGUCACACCGAAGGAAUGGUGGAGGCUGUGAGUCCUCCGCCCACUGUCACACCGAAGGAUGGUGGAGGCUGUGAGUCCUCCUGUAAGCCGCCGCUGGAGAAGGGGCAGCUCUGGAACCUGACGACAUUCUCCUAUCUUGCAUGAGGUGGAGACAAAGAGUCCUUCUGCGCUGGGACAGGAUGAGGGCGAAGUGGUGACUUCAGGUCAGAAGCAGAGCCUUGGGGACCUCUGAUUCUCAAGGGCGAGCUCCCUCCAGAACCCCAAGAGAUGGCCCUGACUGCAUGGGAAAGCGUGUCUCACCAUUGCAAUGUUCUCUAAGUCUGGAGGAGGCGGAGCCCAGUGAGAAUGACAGGCAGACCGCAAGGAGGCCCGGAAGCCCCCCAUGGCGAGGAUGCAUCCAAGUGUAUUCUGUAGGAGUGACCAGUGGCCACGUGGGUAGUGGGCAGAGCUUGUUUUCCUCCAAUAUCAGCGUACAGAGCAGGGGAGCCUGGUGAAGGUUUCUCUCUGAAAUCAUGGAUUCAGCUGUAUUAGUUUCUAUCCAAGGCUGGCAUAGCUCACCUUCCACUCCAGCAAUGACCUCGGGCCAGCUGUCACGAGCCUUCUCACCACGAGGAUGGUCUGGGGUGGUGAGAUCUCACUGUUGGCCAUAAUUCAUUCAACAUUUCUUCACUUCUCUGCUUAAUUUUGGUCGAAUGUCAUGC
rnacentral:lncRNA from 1 species